rnacentral:lncRNA from 1 species
GUGAGGGGGCCUGUGGCCCCAGCGUGCUGUGGCCUCCGGGAGUGGGAAGUGGAGGCAGGAGCCUUCCUUACACUUCGCCAUGAGUUUCCUGAUCGACUCCAGCAUCAUGAUUACCUCCCAGAUACUAUUUUUUGGAUUUGGGUGGCUUUUCUUCAUGCGCCAAUUGUUUAAAGACUAUGAGGUGAGAAGAAAUCAUUUUGUCAUACUUACACUAUAUGAAUUUAGAUUGACAAGAAAAAUGUCUCCAUUAAAGAAACAUUAUGUUCAUUU